CACGUAGGGCGCGAGCGUUGUCCGGAAUUAUUGGGCGUAAAGAGCUCGUAGGCGGCUUGUCGCGUCGACUGUGAAAUCCCGAGGCUCAACUUCGGGCUUGCAGUCGAUACGGGCAGGCUAGAGUUCGGUAGGGGAGACUGGAAUUCCUGGUGUAGCGGUGAAAUGCGCAGAUAUCAGGAGGAACACCGAUGGCGAAGGCAGGUCUCUGGGCCGAUACUGACGCUGAGGAGCGAAAGCGUGGGGAGCGAACAGG
rnacentral:rRNA from 1 species